AGUUUGAUCCUGGCUCAGAAUGAACGUUGGCGGCGUGGAUAAGGCAUGCAAGUCGAGCGAGAACCCGCAAGGGUGAAAGCGGCAAACGGGGUAGUAAGGCGUCGGAACACACCCACAGAUCGAGGAUAGCUACGGGAAACUGUAGGUAAUACACGAUAAUCUCUUCGGAGCAAAGGUUUACUGUCUGUGGACUGGCUGACGUGGUAUUAGGUAGUUGGUAGGGUAAUGGCCUACCAAGCCGACGAUGCCUAGGGGGUGUGAGAGCAUGGCCCCCACCAUUGGGACUGAGACACUGCCCAGACACCUACGGGUGGCUGCAGUCGAGAAUCUUCGGCAAUGGGCGAAAGCCUGACCGAGCGACGCCGCGUGUGGGAUGAAGGCCCUUGGGUUGUAAACCACUGUCAGGGGGGAUCAAGGGAAACUUGAGAGAGCCCCAGAGGAAGCACGGGCUAAGUUUGUGCCAGCAGCCGCGGUAAUACGAACUGUGCGAACGUUAUUCGGAAUCACUGGGCUUAAAGGGUGCGUAGCGGCGAAUCAAGUCUGUUGUGAAAUCUCUCGGCUCAACCGAGAAAGUGCAAUGGAAACUGAUUUGCUAGA
rnacentral:rRNA from 1 species